UUACAAGGAAUAAUCACUAAAGUAUGUACCGAGAAUAGGUUGUGUGCAGGAUCAUGGUGGGAGAGGGGCAGAUGUGGAGGGUCCUGAAGGCUGAGCUAGGGGUCCUGGCCUUGACUAGGUGAGAGAUGAGAAACCACUGAGUGUUGAAUUUUAAAGGGUUUAGGAUCGUUAGGGAGGUCCUAAAGGGUGCCUUGUUAGGACAAAGGGUAAAAUAAUCUGUUCUGGAGAUGAAGCUGGAAAAUUUAGGGCAGGUUGACACAAGGUAGAUAAGGCUGUCCUGGGGUUAGGAUUAUGGGAGAGAAGGCUGGGUAUGUCUUUCAAGGGAAUUUGGGAAAGUCUUCAGGAAAAACCACAGACCGGAUCCAUCCCAGCAUCUGGGCUAUAUUUUUUUAUGGUCAUUAGUAUUCCAAAGAACACCCAGGAAAAAGAUUCUGAUUGGUUUCUUGGGAGUUUCUAGCAAAGCUGCUUGGAUCAUUCAGCCCAAAGGAUGACUCUGAGGCCUGAUGCUGAGUGUCCCGGGCCAAGGUUAGGUUUGUCAGUUCCUAUGAGGAGGGUAGAGGCAGGGGUCACUGAAAAUCAAGGAGAAGGCCCUGGAAAAAGGGGUCACACUCAGGGAAGCCUGGGCAAGCCAGGAAGUUGCUUUCUGGGUCUGGUGAACCGAACUGAAUGGACAAGCAGUGGUGAAACCGAUCCCAUUUAUUAAGCCUUUUUUUUAACAUAAGGCAGGCAUGGUGCUAAGCAUUUGUCAUGAAUUAUUUCCCUGACUCUUCUCAGCUGCUGUCAUCCCCAUUCUACAGAGAACAAAACCCUGAGACAAAGAGAGGUUGAAACAGUUUGGUCUUUGGACUGAUUCCCAUUGAUGGGGUGAGUUAAAAAGUAAAAUUGAAAUUUUGAACACUGUCUCUCCUCAGAGGAAAUGAGAAAAUUUGUUAUGUUUAUUCUAGGAUUGGGAGUGAGAUAAGAAAGGGAGUGCACUGGUGCAUUCUAUCCUUCCACAUCCUUUAAUCCUUUCUCUGGUAACAGCACUUUGGUUUUCCACUUGAGGAUCCUCCCACCCCCCACCCUUAGUAAUUGUGUGUGGGUGGAGUGACUCCACCUCCUGCUUCGGGGAUAAGGUGGCACAGCCUGGUCAUUUAGUGCGCCUGGAAGCCUCUGGUCACAGAAAUGCAACAGCUGUCCUCCCGGCUGUGCUGAAAUGCAGAUGGCCUGGGAAGAAAGAGUCAGGACAUUAGAGUAAGCAGAAGGCCUGAGGAGAAAACUGCCUCCUUCCAAAAUGUACCACCAGACCAGUGCCUAUUUUUCAGAGUAGCUAACACAUUCUCUUGGAAAUAGCAGGUUACAGUCAGACUGCAGGGUCUCUGCAGGCUGAGGCUAUGUCCAGCUGAACCCCACCCCCAGGCAUUGAAGAGAGUAGGUAUCCAAUAAAUAACUGUUGGAUGGCUGAAUGUAUUGUUAAACACUAUUGAUCACUUACUGAAUUACAGCUUGAGUCAGGUGGAGGGAUCUUAGAGAUCUUUUAGAUUGACUUUUCCCAUUUUAAAGAUGAGGAAACCAAGAGGAACCUACCAUUAGACUACAUCUAAGCAAGAAUUAGACUAAGCAUUUGUCACGAAUUAUUUCCCGUCAAUGGAAAUCAGUCCAUAUGUCUUGCCUCCCAAUCCUAGGCUCAUUUUACAAUACCAGGGUUCCUCCAGGUGGGAUGCAUAUCACUUUUUGUUCUGAAAAUUAUUUUAGCAUGAAAUAACACUGAGUCAGCAGGUUGAGUAAAUUAUUUUCUUUAAAAUUAUUUUCCAAGCCUUCUAAUCACAUUGAGGAGAAAGUCUUAAUUUGGUGCUAGUUAACACCUUUCUAGCACUUGCUAAUCUUUCCUUUUUUAACCACAGGGGAGCAGACAUCAGGCUCAGAGGCUUUACAAGUAAUCAAAUUCAUUAAAUAGUGUUAAUUUAAUUUAAUACUAUUUUAAUGUUUUAUGGAACUUUUAAAGCUUACUCCUAAGCAAAAAGAAUAAUGUAAUUAUCCCACCAUCAACUCAUCAUCCAGCCUCAAUUGCUAUCAACAAUUUUAUUGAUCUUGUUUUACAUACCUAGCCCAUCUCACAAUUUUUUUUCCAAAUAUCAUACAUUAAAACAUUAUACCCUUAAAUAUUUCAGUAUGUAUAUCUAACAGAUAGACUUUCUUUUUAAAAAAAGGCCUAGCAACAAAAUUAAGCAGUAAUUCCCCAAUAUUGCCUAAUACCCAAUCUGUGUUCGAAUUUUCCAGAUUGUCUCAAAAAUAUCUAUUUAUAUUUGGUUGUCUUGAAUCCGGAUCCAAAGAAGCCCAUGCCCUCCAUUUUGUUCUCAUGUCUCCUUUAAUCUAUUGGAAUUCCCCUUUCUACCCCCACCUCCACCUUUUUUUAAUGCCAUUUAUUUAUUUUUUUAAAAAACCAGGUCAUUUGUCCUGCAGAAUUAUCCACAUUCUGAAUUUGACUGAUUGGAUUCUACUCUCCUGGUGAUUGGAUUCUUGUUGUAUUUUUAGACAUGUUCCUUUAUUCAUUGUAUUUUCUGUAAACUGGUAAUUACAUCUAGAUUCAGGUUAUUUUUAUUUUUAUUUUUUUCCAUGAAUCCUUCUUAGGUCACUGUGAAUUUCCUAUUGCUUCACAUCAUGAAGCACAUAUAUCUAGUUGUUCCACUCUUAAUGAUAUUAAGAUCGUCAGGUGGGUUCAAGUGUUGGCCUUGAACCUUUCUCCAUCAACCUUUCAUUCAUUGAUGAUCAGUGCCUGAAUGCAUUAUUAGAGGCAGCAAAAUAGUGAUUUUCAAUUUCUAACAAUGCUUAUUCAUUUAUUUAAGGGAGAACAUUCCCUCAUUAAUUAUCUGGUUACCCUGAAAUACAGGUUUUACUGGAAGGGCAGGAUAAAUGGUUGAUUCUUUUCCUUUGUAUCAAUUUCCAGAAGGUGAUUGUGAUGGCCUUAUAAUGCAUCACCUUGGCUAGGCUGGGCUACAUUUCCCAGAAUUCCCUUCCCUGUAAGUUUCCAGUUAGGGUGGGCCAUAAUCCAGUUAGGGUGGGAGACUUGGAGGGUAGGAUUUAAGCAGCAGACACUGUAGCUCAUGCAUAUUAAUUAUCGUUUAUCUGCCGGCUCACCUCCUUGCUGUGAGGGAACAGCUGGGCCUGCAACUGUCAGCGCCUGUAUUCUUCAGCUGUCCAACUUCUGGGCCAAAUGGGUAUUUAGCUCCAUGGUGAAGGCCACCAGCUUCUCCUGCAGACAUUCUCAAUCAAGGUCAGAUCAGUGAGAAUUGCCGUGGUUUUACUACAUCGUCGCAGAUUCCAGUUCAAGCUUGUGGGUUGCAGCUUGUCCCUGCUCUCCUCCACUUUAUAGCCAUCUUCCCUUGAAGACCACCUACCCUGCGAACUUCAAGCUCCAGCAUCAGAUGUGAAGACAACAGCCGUGCGGAGUCUGCUUAGCUCCAAGAAUGCAAAAUUGGGAUAGACAUACUCAGGAACUGGCAGAAUUCCCACAUUGGUUCCCUGGUUCAUGGAGUGAAGACUGUAGUGGUUGGAAAGGCCAACUGGAAGCCAGUAGGACUGCUUCUACCUAUGAAAAUGGUAAGCCGAAAGCAAUACCUCAUUCCUGGAGGUAAUGAAUGCUGAGACUGUUGUCACAAUCAAGGACUUGAAAGAUGCUGCAGUGAUGAUUCCUACCACAUCUCCAUUCAAGUAUCUACUUGACUCAGGCAGAAAUCAAAUGGAUCUUGGAGAAUGACAAUAGAUUAUCCUAAUUAAUUUUAAAUAAUGGUGGUGAAUCCAGAUGUGGUUUCAUUAUUGGAACAAAUCAGCACAUUUCCAGGCACGUGGUAGGCAGCUGUUGCUCUGACAAAUGUUCUCUUUCCCUGUAUCUGUUGGUAAAGACCAUCAGAAGAAGCUGGUUUUCAGCUGGCAAGGUUGGCAAUAAACCUUCAUUGUCCUACCAUUCUGUGGACAUCAGUCAGCCUCUUUCCUCAACCACUCCUAUCAUUGCCCAAUGGGCUCAUGAACAAAGCAUCCGUGGCAGCAGGAAUGGAGGUUAUGUUCUGUUCUCGCAACAUGGACUUCCACUCACCAAGGCCAAUCUGACUACAGCCACUGCUGAGAACCCAAUCUGCCAACAAUAGAGACCAACACUGAGUCCCCAGUGUGGUAUCUCUCCCCAGGGAUAUCAGCCAGCUACCUGGCGGUAGACUUGUUACACUGGACUGCUUCCAUCAUGGGAGGGGCAGUGUUUUGUUCUUACUGGAAUAAGCACUACUUCUGAAUAUGGAUUUGCUUCCCUCUACUACAAUUCUUCUGCAUAACUAUCAUCUGUGGACUACAGAGUGCUUCAUCUACCACUAUAGACCAUACAUCUUUGCUUUUGACCAAGAAGUCAUUUCACAGCAGAUGAGGAACAGCAAUGGGUAUAUGUUCAUGGACUUCACUGGUUUUACCAUGUUCCUCUAAAGCAGCUGGCUUAAUAGAAUGGUGGCAUGGCCUUUCAAUGACUUUGUUACAGUGCCAGCUUAGUGACCAUAAGCUGACAUGGAUUUCAGCCCAUCCUCAUGAGUUCAGCUUGCAUUAGAAAAUCCCAGCUUGCCCUUGCUCUUCUGUACUUUACAAAACUUUUUGAAUGUCUGCUCUGUGGACUUCAAGCUGUAACAUCAGUUGUGAAAGCAAUAGCCUUAGAGUCUGCUUAACCAGCUCCACAAAGGUCAAAUCUCUGUAACAAAUCCUCUAAUGUAUAAACAUAUAUAUUAAACCUAUAUGUACAUAUGUGUAUAUAUGUAUGUAUACAAAUUUUUUUUGCUUCUCAUUGUUACAGUGAUCAAUAAAAAUUUUUCUCCUUCC